UACGAGAGGCCCAAACGUUAUUCGGAAUUACUGGGCGUAAAGAGUUCGUAGGCGGUUUGUCACGUCGUUUGUGAAAACUCACAGCUCAACUGUGAGCCUGCAGGCGAUACGGGCAGACUUGAGUACUGCAGGGGAGACUGGAAUUCCUGGUGUAGCGGUGAAAUGCGUAGAUAUCGUAAGGAAGACCAGUGGCGAAGGCGGGUCGUCUGGACAGUUCCUGACGCUGAGGGCACGAAGGU
rnacentral:rRNA from 1 species